GGGUCUUGAGUAAGAGCUUAAGUGGAAACAAGGAUCUAGAGAAAGGAAGAUUAUUUGACUAUGUUUAUUUGCUUGAGGACAAGCAAAAGGCUAGGUGUGGGGGUAUUAAUUUUUGACUCGCGGUUGUCGAAGCUGGUCAAAAAUAACCUUCUUAGUUAUCAACAAUUUACAACUGCAAAUAGUGGUGAAGGAUCGAAUCCACAGAGAAUUGAUUACCUAUUUAUUUUUCUCAACAAGACCAAUAAAAUAAACUGAAAUAAUGAGAUAAAUAAAAAAUGAGAUAAACUGAAAGCGGAAUAAAAAUAAAUUGCAGUCAAAGUAAAAUGGGGGGUUUGAGAUUGAUUUGAUUAAUAAACUAUUAAAAGCAAUUAAAAUAAUCGAAUAAUAAAAUAAAAGAGAAAUAAAUAAUAAGAAAGCUCUAGUUGAGGUAUUGGAUUCACUUUAGUCAUUGGGGUUGAUCACAGACACUUUGUUCUUUUGGGUUGAUUCAAUAGAUUAGUUUAUGGAGAUGGAAGACGCUUCGCACCACCAUUAUCUCUCCUUAUGAUUAAACCAAUUAGGGAACGUCCUCUAAUUAAUUACUAAUUAACAAAUUGCCAAGGAACGUCAUUGGGCCUUAGGCAUCAAAACAAUUGUUAAUUGCAUUAAGAAAUAGAGAGAUCCAAUCCUAGCUACCCAAACGUAUGGAGAUAACGCUAGAUCAUGCAAUUUUCUUGGGUUUUAUCCCAAGUGUUCUCAUGUAAGAAUAACUCAAGCAAUUACGGACUUAAAUUAUUCAAACUAAUAAAUAAUUAU
rnacentral:lncRNA from 1 species